UCCAGAGCUAGAGAAACAUUGUGCAGUCAGUUUUGAAGCUCCGAACGCUCGAGCCAAGUGGCAAACUAUUGUCUGUAUUGGUGGAGGCUAAAGACAUGUGUCCAUGGACAGGGACUACUAAGAAACCUUCACCAAGAACAAGAAUAAACAAUAAUUAUCAUCUCUCACGUGAAACAGAAAAGAAAAAAUUGUGCAGUUAGUUUUGAAGCUCUGAGCAUGCAAGUGGUCAAACUAUUUGUCUGUAUUGGUGGAGGCUGAAGACAUGGGUCCAUGGACAGGGACUACUGAGGAACCUUCAUCUCCCCCCCCCCCCGUUACCCUGACUGCACUGUUGCCUGGAAACACAUCAGGAGUGACAGUAUCCUCGACUCCCUUCACACUUUUACUAGGGCUCGGACUCAGACCCAUGGCAAUCGGAGCUUGUACAAGUAACCAUUGUUCUCCUUGACUUUGUUUCACAAUUUUAGCUAAACUUGAAUCUGUACUGGUAGUGGUCAUUUCAAAUGGUGCGGGGAAGCUAUGACUAGUGUCCAAUUCAGUUUCUAUUUUUACCAGAGUGGCAGAAAGGUCUUGCACAACCUCUUCUUCCUCUUCCUCAGGCACAGUUGGUACUUUUCUAGUUGGCUUUAUGACCACUUGUACAUGUACAGUACGUGUUAAUUAUGACUUGGGCCCUAUUAAACUUGGCCUUGUGUAUGAUAUACAAGUAACAUAAGUUUUUUAUAUGUUUCGUUUUGUAGUACAUUGUGUAUACCGCAGUUGAUGUAAUCACAGCGCCACUCUAAUUAUACGAAAUUCGAAAUUGUUGACCAUAAUUAUUAUACCAUCAUAUAAAUUCAUUUGUGUUAUGUACAUAGUCUCGCAAAAAUAAUUUUUCCCUGGCGUUGUAUUUACACCAAUUACGGUAACACACACACACGCUUGUCGUGUCCACCCACUCACAUAGGAUCUCCACACGCUAACGGGCGAUGGCUGUUUCACAACAAUGAAAUUUCACCACUUAGUUUAUCAGGAUGUACUACAUGAUUAUGACAAGAUAAACAUUCCUUCAAAACCACAAGCCAGUAGAAAUGGGUCCGGUCUUAGGAGUAUCCCCAUGGGAAGGGGAGUUCCCAAGUAUGUGUAAAAUGUGACUAUGCAGGAAGUACAGACUCUGUACUUUCCAUUGAUGGUAGUUUCAUAAAAAUCAGGCUAUCUUAGCACGUGUUGUAGUUGCUUGUUCAGUACAUGGUUUUGGGCAAGGUUGUAUGGCGUCUCCAGUAGAGAAGCACUUCUGUCAACAAAAGCGUUUCUAAAGACAAGUAACAACCAGUACAUUAUAAAGGAAGCUCUCAGGUGGAGGUCUGAGAUCGCUGAGGUGGUCUGUUUUGAGGUGACAGAAAGGACACGAUGGGGAUUGAGACACUUGUAACCACCUGCACAAGCAACCAGCACAGGCAAGCCUACCACACAGCUGUAACUCAAUCGGUCUGUCUAGUAUGUACAAGCAUACAGGACAAUCGAAAAAACUUUGUGAGGCAACAACCGAUUCUUGCUGACAGAUGGUGGGAGGAGCUAUCGAUUUAAUGUGCUUGAUCGCUGACUGGAAUGAGCCUUUUGCUGGUCUGCCAGGUGUGUAGGAUUGUUUUUUUUGGCCUCCCACCAACACUGUGAGUGCUAACGCUUAAACAAACUGAGCAAUUAACACUGUGUGCAGACCAGGUCGCAAUCGUUUUUUGUGGAUUAUAAUCUUUUUCGUCUCUAGUGUGCUUAAUAGUAUGAUAAAUAAUGUUAUUGCAUGGGUGACAAUAUGAUUGGGGAUGAAUUGCGUCCACAUCUUCGUUCACUUCUAUCCCAAAAACCUCCAGAAGAUCAACCUUUCUGUCUGAACAGGAAUACUUAUGGCCUUGAGGACCUUUCUUGUUCCUGAAAUAAGACCCACACACCCGACAGUGCUUGGAGAGUGCUACAAGGUGCUCAUCAUCCAUUCCUGAAUGUAUUAUUUGUUGUUAGUCUUUAACCAUACUAUGUGAGUAUAUAUAAAUCAUUAUUGUAUUGAAGUCGUAAUUAUUUUUUGUCAAUUUUUGGUCAAUUUUCAAUCCUAAUUAAUAUUUGUUGCAAAAAAAAGUGAAGUUACCUGU